rnacentral:lncRNA from 1 species
AACUUAUGAUGUGAUGCUCGAGCCUCGUCUUGCCUUGCUCAAGUGUCUAGGGAAGCACUUAAGUCACUUUUUUAAUUUAUUUUUUAUUAUUGAUAUCUAGUAUUUCUUUUUUUUUUAAGUUCUUCUCUUCUUAAAAAAAAAAUAUAUCACAUGUGAGUGAAGAGAUAGAUGGUGACCUUCAUCACCAAUCAAUGAAAUAUUUCCGUAAAAUAAUCUAUACAAGAAUUUGAUGUGGUUACAUAUACUUUAUUAUUUGCCAUUUUUAUUUUUCCCAUGCCAUUUUUAAAAAUAAUGAUCCAAUGCAUAAGACUCUUACCGGUACAAUAUCGAAUUCUAAUUACUUAAACUAUAGAGAAUCAACAUACAUAAUCAUAUUUCUAUAAAAAGAGGAAUUAUUUUGUACCUCUUCAGAUUAUAAAUAUGCAGUAUUAUCAUGAUGCUAAACUCCAUCAGAUCCUUGACAAAUCGGUGCAGAUGGAUGCACUAAGCAUAUGAUCGAUCUCUCAAGCACAUCCUUGAGCUCGCUAAGAAUAAACUAACAUGUCCCUAAUGAACUUGGAAGUCUUCUACUUAAUGGACAGCACAAAAACAGAAGACUAUCAUAUGACCGGGUCAGAAAGUCCAGACUUGAGCAAGACUCUUGACACAUUCCAUGGCAAGUCAAAGAAUGGAUCUACAUAUUUUUAGGGAAUGAAAUAGGUUGACAAAUUUUGUUACUGAUAUGUCUUUUGUGUCCUGAUUCCCUGAACAUACAAUUUGUAUCUGAACAAUUACUUGAUAUAUAUUUUUCCUUAUCUUUUGGGGAAAAAAAAGAGAAAAAAAGAAUGGAUCUUCUACGAUCUGUGCCGAAAAAACAUAACCAGAGUAUUUUUGGCAUACAACUAUAGUCCUCUGUAUUACUAGGGAUAAUCCAAUCAGGACCUUACUGUAUCACUAUACCAAAAAUGACACAUAUAAAAUGCUUUGGCUUUCGGUAUUGCUUA